AUGAUGAUUAUGGAUUUUGGUAAAAAAUGCCCCGAUUUUUCUCAUGUUUAGGGAUCAAGGGGUGCUAGAGGACCAGCAGGCCCAAUGGGAUCCCCAGGAGAGCCGGGGUUACCGGGACCUCGGGGCCAUCCUGGGAGUCCGGGUGUGAAGGGCAAUCCUGGCAUGGGAGUCAAGGGGCAGAUGGGAGACCCGG